ensembl:snRNA U6 U6 spliceosomal RNA
GUGCUCGCUUCGGCAGCACAUAUACUAAAAUUGGAACGAUACAGAGAAGAUUAGCAUGGCCCCUUCACAAGGAUGACACGCAAAAUAGGUAUCUUUAUCCAUUCAAU